rnacentral:tRNA from 1 species
AGGAUUAUAGUUAAAUAUAACAUUUGAAUUGCAUUCAAAAAGUGUUGAUAAAUCAACUUAUCUUA